AUACGUAGGGGGCGAGCGUUGUCCGGAAUUAUUGGGCGUAAAGCGCGCGCAGGCGGUCCCUUAAGUCUGAUGUGAAAGCCCACGGCUCAACCGUGGAGGGUCAUUGGAAACUGGGGGGCUUGAGUGCAGAAGAGGAGAGCGGAAUUCCACGUGUGGCGGUGAAAUGCGUAGAGAUGUGGAGGAACACCAGUGGCGAAGGCGGCUCUCUGGUCUGUAACUGACGCUGAGGCGCGAAAGCGUGGGGAGCAAACAGGAUUAGAUACCCUGGUAGUCCACGCCGUAAACGAUGAGUGCUAAGUGUUAGAGGGGUUAAACCCUUUAGUGCUGUAGCUAACGCGUUAAGCACUCCGCCUGGGGAGUACGGCCGCAAGGCUGAA
rnacentral:rRNA from 1 species